ACGACCAUAUACACAACUGAAAUACUUUAUGACAAUCAGGGUCCAUUCUGACGGCCAAUGCUUAUUCAUCACAUCAAAAUAUCCAAAGAAUUAUAUGCAAUCUCUAUCCCCCAUUCAUACUUGAAUAAAUAUCCCACCCUGCCGCAUUUUAUUGCUUACCACUGCAUCCGUUUGAUGUGAUUCCUUUGAACUACCCGCAGCGAGAAAAAAGAACGCCCCCCAAACUGACCAAACACCCCCAGAAUCAGCAUUGAAUAACCAUUCACGCCCGAAAAAAUGUAAUUUGAUACUUUUUUUCUGCUGAUGCAGAAGUGAGUGCCUGGCAUAUCUAAAACGAUGCAGCAAAUUAAUCGGCAC
ensembl:ncRNA lncRNA:CR45394 long non-coding RNA:CR45394